rnacentral:rRNA from 1 species
CCAGUAAAACCCCCCCAAAUUUUAUAUAGCGAACACUCUCAGAAUCAGGUAGGACUACCCGCUGAACCUUAAGCAUAUCAUAGAGCGGAGGAAUUUUUGGUUCGUUUCCCUCUUAUAAAUUUAAAGGACGGCUGUGUUGGAAAGACGUAUCCUAUCUCGAUAUCCCGCAGAUCAUGUCCACAAAGGGAAAUUUAGUGGGUGGAAGUGU